GUCUCUUCGGAGACAUCCGAUAAAAUUGGAAUGAUACAGAGAAGAUUAGCAUGGCCCUUGCGCAAGGAUGACAUGUACAAAUCGAGAAAAGUUAAAUAUUUUA
rnacentral:snRNA from 1 species